GGGCAUUUGAGGUAAGAAAUUUAUUAGAAUUGUUAAAACUAAGAGUUUCUAUUUUUUAUGCAUGUAUGUGUGAUUAAUUUGGGUAGGCUAGUCACUGAAUUUGGACGCAACUGAAUCCAGUCCUGCUGCUCUGAAAGUAAAAUCAGGGCUACUAUGAGAGCAUGUAACAUUUAUACUAAUACUUGAAAGAUGUUGAAAGAUGUGUCAUUGUGAGUUCAGAAUGGGAAAGGAAAAGAGGCUCUGACAAGGAGCUUUGCAUGUAUGAACAGCCAAACGCAGCCACUUUGGCUGGGCCAUAAUGAGGGUAUUUAAGAGAGAUUCCAAAUCAGGCUGGUAGAUCCUGCAAGGUAUUGAUCAAGUUAAAUAUUUUGGUUUCUUACUGUAUUUUGUUUCUGUCACUGGCAGUUUCUGGUUGCUAGUGAGAGAAGCCAACACACACUAAGCAAAAAACUCCCCAAAACAGUAUUAUAGGUUACUAGAGUGAUUCAGUAACUGUCCCCAGUAUUAGCUAGAAUUAGGGGAUGAAAUAUUCAGAGCUCUUUUUGUCUCCUACUUUUGCCUUUCUCUACAUUUUGGCUUCAGUUUUCUCCCACCUGUGUUUCUCAUUCUGUACACCAGCUUUCUCAGCCUCUCUGGUCUGCAUGACAGAAAACAUGGCUCUUGCAUGUAACAUACUGUUGCAUGUAACAGUUUACAAACAAUUUACAGUUUAAAAACCUAAACAAACUGGUAAACUCACUUUCUUUUCCAAGCCCAAAAAUCCGAGAGAAGGGACUCCCUGGCCUAGCUUGGGCUAGUUGUUUAUCUCCAGACCAGUCAUUAUACUGUGAUUGAUCCUACUUUUGUCCAGCAAAUGGGCUGUAGAGCAGUUCUCCGACUUACAAGAUCAUCUGUUGAGAUACUGAAUACUAGAAAAUAAAUGAGAUGUUAAGUUGAGAUACCAGACAUCUAAGUGAAGAUGUCAGAUAGGUGAAUGGAAUGGAGGGCUGGGCUAGAGGAAAAAAAAUAUAAUUGUAAUGGUUAUAAGUAUAACCAUUAUGUCAAUGGUAGUUGAAACCAUGGAUUUGAAGUUGGAACUGUGAGAUUACCUAAGGAGCAGCUAUAUAUUGAAUCUAUGAAGAGAGAAGUGGAAAUUGAAACCACAAGAAGUUAGAAGUAAGGCCUGGAAUAGAGCCCUGAGAAUAUAUAUGGUCCCCAAUUUAUAAUGGUUCAACUUUUUUUGACUUUAUGACAGUAUGAAAGUGAUAAUGCAUUCAGUAGAAUUCAUAUUUGCAGAACCCAUGCAACCAUUCCUUUUUUCAUUUUCAGUACAAUAUUCAAUAAAUUACAUGAGCUAUUCAGCAUUUUAUUAUAAAUGAGGCUUUGUGUUAGAUGAUUUCGCCCGCUGUAGGCUGAUGUAAGUAUUCUGAGCACAUUUAAGGUAGGCUGUGCUAUGCUAUGAUGUUUGGUAGGUUAAGUGUAUUAAGUGCAUUUUCCAUGUAACCAUAUUUUCUUACAGUGGGUUUAUUGGGAUGUAACAUCAUUGUGAGUCGAGGAGCAUCUAUACAUAUUCGAAGGUGAAUUUGUGGAGAAAACUGAUAAAGAAUGACCAAAAUGGUAUAAGAGAGUAGUGUUGGUAUCCAAGGACAGAAAGCAUUUUGAAAAAGAGAGCUGGGUCAAUAACUGCUAAGGACCAGAUGUGGUGUUCAUGCUUGUCAUCCCAACACUUUGGGAGGCCGAGAUACUGCCUCUACAAAAAAUUUUAAAAAAUGAAAGGUUCAAAACAGUAUAUCACUAUAUCCGUUAGUUAACAUUCUUUAGUGUCCAACUAUCAAUUGUUAGUGUACAUACACCUCUCAUUGUACAUUAAGCAUGAUUCUUAUUUACUGAAAUAUUCAAUACAUAUAAGAACUAUAUCUUAUAUGCUAAAUUUAUGAAAAAUUAUUUUAGGUAUUUUUAAAUUUGUACAUUCCAGUUACUUUUUUCUUGUUUGUUUAAAGAGAAAACAGAACAGGGCUAUAUAGCAAACUUAGUUUGUAAUAACUUUGAUAUAGUAAAUCUUCUGAUAUUUAGUCUUAUAUUUUUCCUCUUUAAACAUAUCUUAAAUUUAUCCUUACUGAAUUUCACUUUUUGCUGACUUGGGCACCUGAAGGUAUGAAGAUAGGAAGAAGAAGAUAAAAAAUGAAAGCUCCUUAAGUACUAUUUCUAAUUGUAGUUUCUUCUGAUGUUUUAUGGAAGAAUGCUUUAGUAAAGUGGUUUUUCAGCGACAAGUUUGUUCAGCUUUUAAGUGUUUAUAAUUUUUUCUGGUAACUGCUUCAAUAUAUAUUACAUUUUAAAGCCCCCUUCCCCUUUGUCUCAUAUGUAGGGGAAAAUAGAAAAUUGCAUAUUGAUUAUGUUUUACCUAUAAAUUUCCACCAUGAUUUUUCAUACAUGAUAGUAUGUAGUUAACUAAAUGCUUACAUACCAGUGUUGCAACUUGAUUUUUUUUUUUUUAACCUUGUACUUUAUUAUACAUACUAACAUCACCAGUGAAGGACAGAUAGCUGUCAAGUACCUCUAGAUAGGGCACAUCACCUGUGUAGUAUUCUGGUUGAGAAUGCAUAACCUAAAUCCACUCAUUAAGAAAUAUCAAACAAACCCCAAAUGAGCAAUAUUUUAUUAAUAAAAAGCAGAUUUGGGGGAAUUUGUACUUUAAAACGUUAAUGUCAUAAAAAACAAAAGAAAGGCUAACAAGACAUGACAACUGAAUGCAAUACUUGUCGCUGCUUGCCCAUUACUGGGCUCCUGUUCUGGAGGAGGGAUAUGCCACAAAAGACAUUUUUGGAUUAAUUCACAGAAUUUGGAAUACAGCUAAUAAAGUGUUUCAAUGUUAAACUUACUGACGUUAUUAACUGCUGUGAUUAUGUAAGAGAAUGUGCCUACUAGGAAAUACAUGUUGAAAUAUUUAAGAGUAAAGGGCCAGCAUGUAUGUAACUUCUAAAGUGGUUUAGCGGAGGUGGGGAAAUAUAUAUAUGCCCGUCUGUGAGUGUACAUGUAUGUGUAUAUAUAUAGAGAGAGAGAGAAUGAGAUUUAGAAAAUGUAAACAAAACUCCAUCUAGGUUUACAUAUUUUAUAAUCUAUAUUUAUCUACCUUUUAUCUUUCAGGAAAGCAAAAUAGAUGAGCACCAUUUUGUUGCAGUAGCUCUUAGGAAACCCGAUGGAUCUAGACAUCAGGAUGUUCCAUCUCAGGAUGAUUCCAAACCAACCCAGAGGCAAUUUACUAUUCUCAACUUUAAUGAUUUAAUAUCAUCUGCUGUUCCCAUGACACCUGAAGAUCCUUCAUUUUGGGACUGUUUUUGCUUCACAGAAGAAAUUCCAAUACGAAAUGGUACAAAGUCAUGAUGAUUCCCUGAGUAACAAAGGGAAAUGAAAACUGUUUGUAAUCUUCCGUAUUCACUGAAAAAUAAAUGCUUGUUUAGUAUCAAAUUUUAUUUCACAAAAGUUUUUUUAAAGAACAGAAGCUUUUUCAAUUUAAAAAGAAAAAAAGCAGACUUCUGGUUCAAGAUAGCUCACUGGAAUACAUGUUUACCUCUUUCUUUCCUAAAUUGUAUUGAAUUGAUAGGAAGGAUGGCAGAAUCUUAAAGUAAUACAUGCUAACUGUAGAAAAAAAUAGAAAAUGCACAUAAGCAAAAGGAAACAUUUAAAUGCUGUCUUUCAAAGAUAACUACUCUUAAAACCUUGAGUAUCUUUUCAGACCUUUUUCUUGGCAAAUGAAUCCAUAUUGACAUAUUUGAUUUUUUAAAAACAUGGACACAUACUGUUUUGUAAAUUUUUUUUAACUGCACAUCUACUGUUCAUAAAUAUACCUCUGUAACAUAACUUUUUGUGGUUCUAACGUACUCUGUUGUAUAGCUAAUACAAGUUAGGAUGCUUUUGGCCAGAGGUAACAGUGUCCAAAUAUAAUUGGCCUAAGUAACCUAGGAAAUUGUUUGACAUAACACAGGGUUCAGGGGUGUCAUUAAAGACACACUUUUUUUUGCCUUGACCUCAGUUGGUUUGUUUUGUCUUAGGCUAUUCCACCUCUCGAUCACAAGAGCUGCUGCUAUAAUUUCCAGUUUUACAUCUUUGUAAAAUUGUAUCUCAAAGGCAGAAAAGGCCAUUUCAUCUCUCAUUUGUUUUAUCCAUGAGGAAGACUUUUAACAAAAGCCUCCAGAAGAUUUCCCCUCAGUUUCCAUUGACUUAGAUCAGGUUACAGAGAAAGGCAAUGUCUGACAUUUUUAGUCUCUGUUAGAAGUAGACUCUGUUGAAAAGAAAGAAGCUAAGCUAGGUGUGAAGAAUGGAAUUGGAAGCCCACUGCCUUCCCAUAAGAAAGGUUUGCCAUAAUUUACUCACUUUUUUCUGUGUUAGACAUUUUGAUUGUCUGCAGUUUAUUACUACAAGCAGUAGCAGAGUGAAUGUCCUUGUACAUUUUGAGUUACAUGCUUAAUUAUGUCCUUGAGAAAGUUUCUAAAAGUGGAAUGAUGGGUUUGACUGGUUCACAGGGCUUUAAUUGUACAAUUUACCCCUCUAAUUAGUACUGUAUAUAUGUGACUUCCCUCCCCCCGCCAGAAUACUCCUUGGUCAAUUGUAGGUAUUCUUUUUGAUUUAAUUUUUGCCAAUAUAAUUAAAAAAUGGUAUGUCACUUUUAAAAUUUGUAUUUCUUUCAUUACAAAUAAGGUUGAUAUGUCAGUGUUGUUAUUGGCUUUUCAUAUUCCUCUUAACGUGAACUGUCUGUUCAUUAUCUUUACCUGUUUUCGUUUUAGCAAGUAGUACUUAAUUUAAAGUGUGAACAUAAUAUAUAAGAUGCCAGGACCAUCAUAUUGAUGACAAAAAUCUAUUAAUGUGGUUGUAGUGCAUGUCUUGGAGUUAAACUCUUUAAGUAUCAAGAAGUAAAAUAAUUUCAUUGUUUCUGUUACUAACAUUAAAAGUGUGCAAAUUGUAUAAAAUUAGGUACUUUGAUUAGUUAGAAAAAAAAAGUUGAAUGUUUUGUAUAUAUUUUUUAUUUUAUUAAGCAUGCCCAGUUAUGCCAAGCAUAGUAAAUAAAGGUCAAGUAGCAUUUAUAAUAGAGGAAGUAUUGUUAUCCCUAGCAUGAGUGUAAUGGUGAUAUGAAAAACUUUGUCUUGUCAUUAUAAUAAUAAAAAAAUGAACAUUUAUUAUGGAAUUUC
rnacentral:sRNA from 1 species